AACGAACGCUGGCGGCAUGCCUAACACAUGCAAGUCGAACGAGACCUUCGGGUCUAGUGGCGCACGGGUGCGUAACGCGUGGGAACCUGCCCUUAGGUUCGGAAUAACUCCCCGAAAGGGGUGCUAAUACCGGAUAAUGUCUUCCGACCAAAGAUUUAUCGCCUUUGGAUGGGCCCGCGUUGGCUUAGCUAGUUGGUAGGGUAAAAGCCUACCAAGGCGACGAUCCAUAGCUGGUCUGAGAGGAUGAUCAGCCACACUGGGACUGAGACACGGCCCAGACUCCUACGGGAGGCAGCAGUGGGGAAUAUUGGACAAUGGGCGAAAGCCUGAUCCAGCAAUGCCGCGUGAGUGAUGAAGGCCUUAGGGUUGUAAAGCUCUUUUACCCGGGAUGAUAAUGACAGUACCGGGAGAAUAAGCUCCGGCUAACUCCGUG
rnacentral:rRNA from 1 species